GGAGACCACUGCUAUUGGGGUUCGGCUAAGCCAUGCAAGCGGAGGGCAGUUCGGCUGCCCCGCGGACGGCUCAGUAACACGUAGUCAACCUACCCUUGGGUCGGGUAUAACCCCGGGAAACUGGGGAUAAUCCCCGAUAGGUGGGGGUACUGGAAAAGUCCCUCUCCCAAAGCUCCGGCGCCCAAGGACGGGACUGCGGCCCAUCAGGUAGUUGGCGGGGUAACGGCCCACCAAGCCGACAACGGGUACGGGCUGUGAGAGCAGGAGCCCGGAGAUGGAGACUGAGACAAGGCUCCAGGCCCUACGGGGCGCAGCAGGUGCGAAAACUUCGCAAUGCGCGAAAGCGUGACGAGGGAACCCCAAGUGCCGAUGGUCUUUUUGAUCGUCGGCUUUUCAAGAGUUCAAAACGCUCUUGGAAUAAGAGCUGGGUAAGACUGGUGCCAGCCGCCGCGGUAACACCAGCAGCUCAAGUGGUGGUCGCGAUUAUUGGGCCUAAAGCGUCCGUAGCCGGGCCAGUAAGUCCUUUGUGAAAUCGGACGGCUCAACCGUUCGGCUUGCAGGGGAAACUACAGGCCUUGGGGCCGGUAGACGUUGAGGGUACUCCGGGGGUAGCGGUGAAAUGCUCUAAUCCCUGGGGGACCACCAGUGGCGAAGGCGCUCAACGAGAACGGACCUGACGGUGAGGGACGAAGGCUAGGGGAGCGAACCGGAUUAGAUACCCGGGUAGUCCCAGCUGUAAACGAUGCAGGCUAGGUGUUGGCGCGGCUACGUGCCGCCCCAGUGCCGCAGGGAAGCCGUUAAGCCUGCCGCCUGGGAAGUACGGCCGCAAGGCUGAAACUUAA
rnacentral:rRNA from 1 species